CCUACGGGCGGCAGCAGUGAGGAAUAUUGGUCAAUGGGCGAGAGCCUGAACCAGCCAAGUCGCGUGAAGGAUGAAGGAUCUAUGGUUUGUAAACUUCUUUUAUAUGGGAAUAAAGUGAGGAACGUGUUCCUUUUUGUAUGUACCAUAUGAAUAAGCAUCGGCUAACUCCGUGCCAGCAGCCGCGGUAAUACGGAGGAUGCGAGCGUUAUCCGGAUUUAUUGGGUUUAAAGGGUGCGUAGGUGGUUAAUUAAGUCAGCGGUGAAAGUUUGUGGCUCAACCCCUUCCCGCCAUUGAAACUGGCGCUCGUGAGUGGAAGAGAAGUAUGCGGAAUGCGUGGUGUAGCGGUGAAAUGCAUAGAUAUCACGCAGAACCCCGAUUGCGAAGGCAGCAUGCCGGCUUCCGACUGACGCUGAAGCACGAAAGCGUGGGGAUCGAACAGGAUUAGAUACCCCAGUAGUC
rnacentral:rRNA from 1 species